rnacentral:rRNA from 1 species
GCGUGGUCGUGUGUGCCUGUGUGGGCACUCAACCAGGAUACGGCCCAGGUGAGCGGCGCUUAUCGCCAUGGACGCCAUGGAGUUCUUCUUCGAGGAGUCUGGAGCUGGGCUCGCGCCGCGCUUGGACGGCGGAGACGUCCUAAGAGAUUUAGUUGCUGGCGUGCGUCUGCCUAAGGGCCGCACCAGUGGAAGUGCUAAUACGGAUGAGGUCUUGAUUUCUUCUCUGCUGAUGGGUUGAGCUGGAGGCCUGAUGGAUUAUGAAGGGGGCGAAGAUACGGGUGAAACAUUACUCACUGGGAGGGGGGUGCGGCUCGCUUGAUCUUGGCGGCGAAGGUGUGGGCGAUUCCUGUGAGAUAGGCGAUGCAGAUGUUGCCUCUGACGCCGAGGGCAGACGAAGAGGGCGUGGGGGUGUCCAACACAAAUCAGUCUUGUUGGACCAGAAGGGUAAGCCAUUGCAGGCCAACAGUUGGUCAACAAGGUGUGGCUGCAAUGCCAUGAUACGACUGCUGAGGUCGGGUGAUGGUGGAUGGUAUGUAUGUGAGCACAGGUUAGAGCACAACCAUGCUUUAUCUGUUUAAUUGUGGAGAGAAAUUGCACUCGAAGUCGCACCAACACAUAGAUACCUAUACAAGAGACCUUGUUAAGCAGUUGAGAGAGAAUAAUAUCAGCAUUAGCAAGGUUUAUAGUGUUGUAGGGAGUUUCUUUUGCAUGAUUAAGGAGGUGCCAUUCAUGAAACGAUCCUUAAAAACACUAUGUGGAAAACUUAACCGGGAACAGUCGCUAAAUGAUGCAACAAAAACCAUAGAUGUAUUCAACAAGAUGCGGGCGGAGGACCCAGAAUUUAAAUAUAGUGUCCAGGUGGACACCGAGGGCAUAAUUAAGACAUUGAUGUGGGCGACUGGUAAAGGCAUUGAGCAGUUCAAGUGUUUCGGUGAUGUUGUGGCGUUUGAUACAACCUAGAAGACAAACCUGUACGACAUGCCAUUUGGCCUAUUUGUUGGCGUUAACAAUCAUUUCCAGAGUGUCAUUUACGAAGGCGUGUUGAUGGGUGAUGAGAAAGUGGACACUUUCAAGUGGAUAUUCACAGAGUUCUUUCAAAUGCUAGCAGCGCCACGGCCUAAAACUAUCUUAACUGACCAAGCUCGUUCGAUGGAAAUUGCAAUAGUCGACGUGAUGUCGCGGACUGCACAUCGCUGGUGCAAAUGGCACGUACUGAAGAAGGCAAAGGAGAGCCUUGGAGCACUGCUUGCAAAAGGGAGUGAAUUCAAGCCACAAUUCAGCAAACUAGUCCACCACGUAGUUAGUAUUGAUGAAUUCGAGAAUGGGUGGGCGGCAUGAUGGAAAAAUAUGGGCUCCAGAAAAAUACAUUCCUGGCCUAGCUUUAUGAGGUGAGGGGGAAGUGGGUGAAUCCAUACUUCAUGGGUGUGUUCUGUCCAAAGAUGACAAGCACACAGCAAAGCGAGAGUGCGACCACCUUCUGAAAGGAUAUGUGCCACCAGGGUGCCCCAUGCACUUGUUCAUCAGGCAAUAUGAGAAGAUGCAAUUUGACCGCGAUUCAGAAGAAAGUUACCAGGAGAGAAGGACAAAAGUAGGUGGGGUUUUCCUGAAGCAAAAUAUCCCAAUUGAGGUACAUGCAUUGCAGGUGUACACCAGGACAAUGUUUGAGAAAUUUCGUGAAGUGUUGUAUGAAUGUGGAUCUUAUGACCUAGUAGAAGUCAAGCCACGCUUGGAGUACAUUGCUAGGCACAUCAAAUUUUAGUCAAUGGAAAAAUGGUGCGAGAAUGAGUUUGUGAUCUCCGUGAGCGAGACAACCGAUGAGUUCAAGUGCGAGUGUGGGAUGUUUGAGCACUAUGGAAUGGUUUGCAGCCAUGCUCUUAAGGUGAUGAUACACCUAAAACUGCAUGAGCUCCCUGCGAAACAUGUGCUCAAGCGAUGGACAAGAGAUGCAAGAGAUAUACUACUGCUAGAGUAUUUGCGCUACCAGAAGGAUCAUGGGCCGCUCAAACAUUCUUCUCGCCGACACAACACUUUAUACCUCUUGGCACUGGAUGUUGUUAAGUUAGGUGACGGCAAUGUGGAAGCAUAUGCUCUUGCUAUGGAGAAAAUGCGAGAUGUCAAAGUGUAGCUGGAGCCAGUUGCUGCUGUGAGGGAUGGACUUGGGUUGUCUGAUAGCGAACUGGCCACAAAUUCAACGGGUUCUGUCGUUGGUAACAAGCAACACUUUGAUCGAACUGAGUCUGAGCACACCAUUUCACAGGGAUCAGAUAUGUUCCCAGUUGCAUCAAAGAAGCGACUGGUUGGGCGCCCCACAACCAGCCGCGACAAAGGCUCCAUAUGAACAACCAUCAAAGAGGACUAGAUUUUGUUCCAUAUGCAGACUUCAGGGGCACUAGAGCACGACAUGCCCUGCCAGGGGUGAUGUGCCCAAGGAGCCCCGGAAAUCUCUUCGCUGCUCAAAAUGCGGGUUGACAGGGCACAGGAAGAGCACAUGCAGCCAAAGUCUGAAAUUUCAGAAAUUUAGUGUUGUUUCCUGAUGGUAUGCAUUUGUCUAGGUGACCCCUCUGUUAUUAGAAACCAUACCUUAUUUGAACACCUAAAAAGAUGGUCUUGUACUGUGUCUGCUACUAUAUAUGUGUUUGCUUAUUAUGUCGACCUUAUAUCGGGAUGUUGACAAAAUUGUUAAAUUUUCUGUUUGAAGUCAGUUAGAAAAAAAUUGUGUGCUGUGGGCAAG